rnacentral:rRNA from 1 species
GACGAACUGUGCAAACGUUAUUCGGAAUCACUGGGCUUGAAGAGUGCGUAGGCGGUUUCGUAAGUAGGGUGUGAAAGCCCUCGGCUCAACCGGGGAAUUGCGUCCUAAACUGCGAGGCUAGAGUGAGGUAGGGGUGUGCGGAACUUCCAGUGGAGCGGUGAAAUGUGUUGAUAUUGGAAGGAACGCCGGUGGCGAAAGCGGCACACUGGACCUUGUCUGACGCUGAGGCACGAAAGCCAGGGGAGCAAACGGG